GAUGAAGAACGCAGUGAAAUGCGAUAAGUAAUGUGAAUUGCAGAAUUCAGUGAAUCAUCGAAUCUUUGAACGCACAUUGCGCCCGCCAGUAUUCUGGCGGGCAUGCCUGUUCGAGCGUCAUUACAACCCUCAGGCCCCCGGGCCUGGCGUUGGGGAUCGGCGGAAGCCCCCUGCGGGCACAACGCCGUCCCCCAAAUACAGUGGCGGUCCCGCCGCAGCUUCCAUUGCGUAGUAGCUAACACCUCGCAACUGGAGAGCGGCGCGGCCACGCCGUAAAACAGCCAACUUCUGAAUGUUGACCUCGAAUCAGGUAGGAAUACCCGCUGAACUUAAGCAUAUCAAUAAGCGGAGGA
rnacentral:misc_RNA from 1 species